UUUCAACUUUCUGUGCUUUAUACUAAUAGUGAAAGUGAUAUAGUUAAAACCUCUGUAGAUUGGAAUCAAUGGGCCUACGUACCGGCAUGACUGCUUUGCUAGAAUGGACUUUUACUUAUUGCUGUGUAUCAGUGGCAUCACAUUGUUUCAGCUGCACCUUCUAACUGCCUGGAUCUAAGAUUUAUUUCUCUUCCUUUUAUCUUUUCUGUUUCAUAACUUUAGCAUUUAAAAAUAGCGUCUAUGAUUAGAGAUGUAUAAGAAAGAGAGAAGGAAUAACUGAGGAGCCCUUCUAUACGAAGGGCUUGUCUCUUUGUGGUAAAGCUUAUCCUGCAGAAAAUGAUGUUGAGGGGAAUUUUUCUAGGAAGCUAGUUUCAGAUGUGUGUAUUUGCCGAGAGAGUCACAGUACGCUGUAGUUAAAAGCAGUACAUGCAGUUACAAGUGUCUAGUUUUCCUCCUUCCCCCAUCCUCUACAUGCGUACUCGAUAUAGUCGGAAAUGCUUAUCAAUCUCUUGCAGACAUCCCACUAGCUCUGCUGUGAUGAAUCUGCAGGUUUCUUUCCAUCAGGAUAGUCUCUGAAGUGCAACCUGAAGAGAACAGUUGGAUUUUACCAGCCUGUGGCAUCACUCUGUCUUUCUGCUCUUCAGAUGAGCUCUGCAGCAUCCACGGACUGUGAGAAGAGUUCUGCACAGUGCGGACUUGAGGCGACAUGUUUCUCAAGAAAAGAAGCGGCCCUUAUGACUGUCUGAGGACCUGUGUGCUGUACAAAUGAGAGCGUAAUAAGCUGUGAGCCCGGACUUGGCCAUCGUGGAGCAAUAUGCAAUGUCAUCGGGGGGACCAAGAGUGUGGUUUGAAGGGGACCUCACUGGGAGUGCAUGUUUGUGUUGUCAGGAACUCUUCUCAAUCUGCUGCUCAGCCAGGUCUCUUGGAGGACUUUAGAGAAGAGCUACAAAAAUUCUAAGACUGAACCCAGAACCUGGUCAUAGGUAAUUCCUAUGUUUUCAGCACAAAGAAGGUAUGGUACAAAGAUGGUCAGUCUUUCUUGUGCAGGUUUAUUUUUCCUAGGGUUCAUGCCUCAGUCUGAUUGGAGGCAAGACAGGACAUCGGUCAUUCCCUUGGCAUUGCCUUCCAUUGCCUCAUUCUGAAGAUGAAGCUUGAGUGGACAACUUGGACCAGAAUUUAUUUGUCUCUCUACAUGUUUUCAGGGAGUUGGUUUGCCCAAAAGCAACAGUUAGCAGGUUUGAAACAACAACAGGCCUGGGAGAAGAGGACAGAGACAAGAAGCACUGAUGAGCAAAUAGAAUACCAAUGGACCCUAUUUCCUUCUGACUUUUUACCAAGAGUUGUGUGUUGUGGCAGGAAAAGCACCAAACUCUAAUGCAUGCUGCUACAAGCAUCCUGCAGCAUCCAGUAUUGAGUGCCUGGGUGUAAUGAAGCAUUGAUCAGCUCUCCUCUCCAGCACAUUAUGCCCUCGCAUACUGCCAUCCUGCAAUUAUUGAUUGGUCUGGAGUCCUGCUGAUCUUGUGCUGAGAGCUAUUUCUGUGCACAAACAUCCAUUCAGAGUGUCUCCUCACUGUGUGGGAACAAGAGCCACUUCAUUUGCCUGGACACUGUUUUUUGCAUCCUCUGCAGCAGUGAGGGGCAUGCCAAGUGCUGAUGAUCUUGCAGGCUACCUGGAUGUGCUGGACACUGGGAUGGCUCAG